GACGAACGCUGGCGGCGUGCUUAACACAUGCAAGUCGAACGAAGAGUGACGGAAGCUUGCUUCUAUCAAUCUUAGUGGCGCACGGGUGAGUAACGCGUAAUCAACCUGCCCUUCAGAGGGGGACAACAGUUGGAAACGACUGCUAAUACCGCAUACGAUCUAACCUCGGCAUCGAGGAUAGAUGAAAGGUGGCCUCUACAUGUAAGCUAUCACUGAAGGAGGGGAUUGCGUCUGAUUAGGUAGUUGGAGGGGUAACGGCCCACCAAGGCGAUGAUCAGUAGCCGGUCUGAGAGGAUGAACGGCCAGAUUGGGACUGAGACACGGCCCAGACUCCUACGGGAGGCAGCAGUGGGGAAUCUUCCGCAAUGGACGAAAGUCUGACGGAGCAACGCCGCGUGAGUGAUGACGGCCUUCGGGUUGGAAAGCUCUGUUAAUCGGGACGAAAGGCCUUCUUGCGAAUAGUGAGAAGGAUUGACGGUACCGGAAUAGAAAGCCACGGCUAACUACGUG
rnacentral:rRNA from 1 species